AGUGAACGCUGGCGGUAGGCCUAACACAUGCAAGUCGAACGGCAGCACAGGAGAGCUUGCUCUCUGGGUGGCGAGUGGCGGACGGGUGAGGAAUACAUCGGAAUCUACUUUUUCGUGGGGGAUAACGUAGGGAAACUUACGCUAAUACCGCAUACGACCUACGGGUGAAAGCAGGGGACUUUCGGGCCUUGCGCGAUUGAAUGAGCCGAUGUCGGAUUAGCUAGUUGGCGGGGUAAAGGCCCACCAAGGCGACGAUCCGUAGCUGGUCUGAGAGGAUGAUCAGCAACACUGGAACUGAGACACGGUCCAGACUCCUACGGGAGGCAGCAGUGGGGAAUAUUGGACAAUGGGCGCAAGCCUGAUCCAGCCAUACCGCGUGGGUGAAGAGGGCCUUCGGGUUGUAAAGCCCUUUUGUUGGGAAAGAAAUCCAGCUGGCUAAUACCCGGUUGGGAUGACGGUACCCAAAGAAUAAGCACCGGCUAACUUCGUGCCAGCCGCCGCCGUAA
rnacentral:rRNA from 1 species